GAUGAACGCUGGCGGCGUGCCUAAUACAUGCAAGUCGAGCGAACAGACGAGGCGCUUGCUCCUCUGACGUUAGCCGCGGGCGGGUGAGUAACGCGUGGAUCACCUACCUAUAAGACUGGGAUAACUUCGGGACACCGGCGCUAAUACCGUAUAAUAUAUUGAACCGCGUGGUUGAAUGGUGAAAUACGGUUUUUCUGUCACUACUCGAUGCAUCCCGGCCGCAUUAGCUAGUUGUUAAGGUAACGGCUUACCAAGGCAACGAUGCGUAGCCGAACUGAUAGGGGGAUCGGCCACAUGGGAACUGGGACACGGUCCAGACUACUACGGGAGGCAGCAGUAGGGAAUCUGCCGCAAUGGGCGAAAGCCUGACGGAGCAAGGCCGCGUGAGUGAUGAAGAUCUUCGGAUCGUAAAACUCUGUUAUUAGGGAAGAACAAAUGUGUAAGUAACUAUGCACGUCUUGACGGUACCGAGUCAGAAAGCCACGGCUAACUACGUG
rnacentral:rRNA from 1 species